ensembl:snoRNA small nucleolar RNA SNORD45
GAUCUGUGAUGAUUUUUUGUAUAUAUCUGACAAUAAAGUUGAUGUCUGUCACCAUUUUAGCUCUAGAAUUACUCUGAGAUCUG